UCGCGGGGACGACCCCGCGACGCUCUCAAGCGCCUAAUCCGGGGACGACCCCA
rfam:Pseudomonas fluorescens SBW25 complete genome